GUACAUCCCUCAAGUUUCAACAAUAUUCCACCAUUGUUGAAUUAAACAAAUCCUCUAUAUUUCUUUGUUGUCUUCUUCUAAAAUUUCGUUUUCCAAUCUUCUAAAAUUUCGUUUUCCAAUUGGGUUGAGUUCUUGUAGUAGAAGAAAUCAAAGAGUGCAAUUUUGAUUUCCAGAGUAGGCAUUGUAUCCUGGGAAUGGACUUUUCCGUUAACCACUUGCACAGUGUGAGGGAAAUUACUAUCCUAAAGAUAAUUUCCUGGAAGCGUCUUGUCUAUCCGUUCCGUGUUUUGUUUUCCAUUGAAUUCUCUUUCAUGAUUUCACUCUUUAAUUUGGUUCUUAAAUUUGUCUCGCAUAAAGUUACUCCAUUAUUGUAUUCUUUUGAAUAUUCUACAACAAUUUUAGGAUAGUAAGUUUUCCGUUAUAAUGGAGUCUUCUUUGUUGUGCGAGAAACAAAAAUCAAUUGUGGAGAUGCGGGGUAUUAAGAGUUCAUGAUUUUUCAUUAGUGUCUCUCUGGGUAAUGGCUGUUUUGGCAUCAAACAAAGGCAUGGACAAGCACCUCUCGCGAAAGAGAAAUUAGUUUUUUUCUCUAAAUCCAAAGGAUUAGCAAACUUGAAGUUAUUCAGACGUUUCCAACCAAAUAAAUACAGAGAGAGAACUUUGGGUGACAUUCUUUUUUACUUAUCACUGAAAUCUCUUCGCUGCUUAUAUCAAGGAGAUUCUCAUCGAAAUCAAUUAAAAGAGAUAUAUUUCAAAUGUUGAAGAACAAAGCAGUCAACCACGACAAAAGAGAUGAAUGUUUUAAUAGCAAUUCAGGGUUGAUGGGUUCGCAGGAGAGUGGUUCUUCAGGAAUUACUGAUAUUGGGAAUCAGCCCAUUAAAGGCAGUGAUAAUUGGUGGCUACAAUUGGGAGCAGAAAAAAAAAAACACUUCAGAUUUUACCGGGGCUUAUAAUCAACAAUCCUGGUUGGAUUGAAAGAAAUAAAAUGGCGUGUACUAACCACCUUGACGACAAAGUCGAAGUGGAUUCAAUGUUUCAACAAUAAUGAAAAUACCGUCAAUUACUAAAAAACAUUCGUGGCGAGAUCGCAGCACGCUGUAACGUUAUAAGUUACGAUCAAAAUCGGGAUCGUGGGAAGCCCGAAUCAUAGGUUGGAUUUAGCUUGAGUUUGGAUCGUAUUGGAGAGCGUUUGAGGUACGGACGCACAGCCUGGUGAUCCACCUGUUUAGGACACCCGUUCUGCUAUUCGGAGUGCUCCUCUCUUUCCGGAGCUUAUACUUUUGGUAUAUAUAUUUUUUAGUGCAUUUGUAUAUAUUUGUUCAUGGGUACGGCGGGGCCCUGUCCCGUCAUAUGAUUCUGUCGGUCUGUUUAGAGGUCUGUGGACAUGUUUGUGGGUUAGGGUCUUUCUGUAUGAAUAGGUGUAUAUGUUGUUUGGGCGAUCCCAUACGCCGAGGAGGCCGGUCCGCAUAUGUUUAUACAUUGCUUUGCUAGCCCUGUGUGGCCUUUGUUGGUGUUUGCUGUGUACAGAGUUAUUUUGGAUAGUCUGUAAAACAGAGGAAACUCUGCCGAAAUUUUUCUGGGAAUUGUC